UAUUUAUUUAUUUAUUUAUUUAUUUAUUUAUUUAUUUUUAAAUAUUAACGGUCCUUCAUAUGUUUCUGGAGGGAUACAAUGAGUUGGAUUAUAUGCUGACGUUUUCCACUCUUAAAAAUAAAAAAAAAUAAAUAAUAUAAUAUAUACUAAUAAAAAUUGUAUUUAAAUAAUUUAAAAAUAUAAGAAUUUUAAAAUAUAAAACAAGAAUGUACACACAUAAGUCCCAUUUUACUUUAUAUAAUUACGCAAUUUUCUUCUUUAACCUAAAGGACAUAUUAGAGUAUAAUCUCUUCUACAUUUUCCUAUGUACCUGAAAAUUUAAGUAGAUGUUUACAUACAUAUAUAAUACAUUAAAUAUUUAAUUAAUCAAAUAAUAAUAUUUUUUUUUGUUUUUUUUAUUUUGAUGAUAUACCAUAACAUUUUUAAUCUCUCUUGAAUUACUCUAAAUAUUUCUUAAAAUAUUUAAAAAAAAAAAAAAUAAAAUAAAAUAAAACAUAUAACAAACAUAUAACAAACAUAUGACAAACAUAUAAAAAACAUAUAACAAACAUAUAACAAACAUAUAACAAACAUAUAAUAAAUAAUAUUAUAAAAAUACAAAAGAGAAAAAAAAAAAAAAUAGACACCUUCAUUCAAAAGGUUUUCAAUUUCUAUAUUUUCCAGAUCAACAACUGCUUCUUUUUCAGCCUAAAAAAAAAAAAAAAAAAAAAAAAUAAAAAAAAUAAAAAAAAAAAAAAAAAAAAAAAAAAAAAGAUCAUAACUGUCGUAACAUUCUUCAUUUCGACUAUUAAAAAAUUUGGGUUAAUUCAACAAUUUUAUAAGUAAAAAGCAGAAAAGACAAAAAAUUAUAUAUAUAUAUUUACAAUUGCGUUUCUGUAAUAUAUACUUCUCUAAUUAACACUAUAUGGGUCAGAAAUGUUGUACUAACAAGUUAUGAUAGAGAAUAUAUAUAUAUAUAUAUAUAUAUAUAUAUAUAUAUAUAUAUUAUAGUUCAUCAGCUAUAAAUGUAAAUAUGCAUAUGUGUAUUUAUCGAUUCCUUCUUUUGAUUUAUUUUUAAAAUAUUGUGCUAUAAUAAAAAAGCAAAAAAAAAAAAAAAUAAAAAAAAA
rnacentral:lncRNA from 1 species